AACGAACGCUGGCGGCAGGCCUAACACAUGCAAGUCGAACGCGUCCUUCGGGACGAGUGGCAGACGGGUGAGUAACGCGUGGGAACGUACCCUUUGGUUCGGAACAACAGCGGGAAACUGCUGCUAAUACCGGAUAAGCCCUGCGGGGGAAAGAGUUAUCGCCAGAGGAUCGGCCCGCGUUAGAUUAGCUUGUUGGUGAGGUAAUGGCUCACCAAGGCUACGAUCUAUAGAUGGUCUGAGAGGAUGAUCAGCCACAAUGGGACGGAGAGACGGCCCAGACUCUAACGGGAGGCAGCAGUGGGGAAUCUUAGACAAUGGGCGAAAGCCUUAACCAGCCAGGCCGCGUGAAUGAUGAAGGCCCUAGGGUUGUAAAAUUCUUUCGACGGGGAAGAUAAUGACGGUACCCGUAGAAGAAGCUCCGGCUAACUUCGUGCCAGCCGCCGCAGUAA
rnacentral:rRNA from 1 species